rnacentral:tRNA from 1 species
GCGGGAGUCGCCUAAUGGUAUGGCGUCAGCUUCCCAAGCUGAUUCCCGCGGGUUCGAUUCCCGUCUCCCGCUCCA